GUCAGCAAGCAUGCUUGUUGGUGUCACACCUAACGGAUUAAGCAUUCCGCCUGGGGAGUACGGUCGCAAGAUUAAAACUCAAAGGAAUUGACGGGGGCCUGCACAAGCGGUGGAGCAUGUGGUUUAAUUCGACGCAACGCGCAGAACCUUACCAACCCUUGACAUACUUGUCGCGGAUUCCAGAGAUGGAUUCCUUCAGUUCGGCUGGACAAUGUACAGGUGCUGCAUGGCUGUCGUCAGCUCGUGUCGUGAGAUGUUCGGUUAAGUCCGGCAACGAGCGCAACCCACGUCCUUAGUUACCAGCAUUUAGUUGGGUACCCUAAGGAGACUGCCGGUGAUAAGCCGGAGGAAGGUGUGGACGACGUCAAGUCAUCAUGGCCCUUACGGGUUGGGCUACACACGUGCUACAAUGGCAUCUACAGUGAGUUAAUCUCCAAAAGAUGUCUCAGUUCGGAUUGGGGUCUGCAACUCGACCCCAUGAAGUUGGAAUCGCUAGUAAUCGCGGAACAGCAUGCCGCGGUGAAUACGUUCCCGGGCCUUGUACACACCGCCCGUCACACCAUGGGAAUUGGGUCUACCCGAAGGUGGUGCGCCAACUAUUUAUAGGGGCAGCCAACCACGGUAGGUUCAGUGACUGGGGUG
rnacentral:rRNA from 1 species